rnacentral:antisense_RNA from 1 species
UGUGACAUAUUACCGUGUUCAACAGCUAAAUGAUGUGACUCUUUUCUCCUGAGUGAGCCCUACUCAUAGGCCUUGAACCCAGAUGAUUUAACUCUCCUAUCUGGGCUUCGCCUAUGGAGAACAUUGUGACAUCUCUGCACCCAUCAUCUAGGUGAUGUGACUCUCCUCUCCUGCCUGGUUGUGGCUCACAGAAGGGAAUGUAACAUAUCUCUGGAUCCAGCACCUAGGUGGGAUUGUGAUAUACCUAGGCCUAGUUCAUGGGUGUGAUGAUGACUCUCAUAUGUGGACCCAACCAAUAGAAAAGAUUUUGACUCUCAUGGCUAGAAUUAGGGGAAUAG